GGUUAACCUGCGGAAGGAUCAUUG
rnacentral:rRNA from 1 species